GCGGAAUUGGUGAAGUGGUUAACACGGUAGAUUGUGGCUCUAUUAUGCAAGGGUUCGACUCCCUUAUUUCGCCCCA
rnacentral:tRNA from 2 species